UCGAGAAUCUUCGGCAAUGGACGCAAGUCUGACCGAGCGACGCCGCGUGUGGGAUGAAGGCCUUCGGGUUGUAAACCACUGUCAGAGAGGAUGAAAUACUGGUGGGUACUCCCAUCAGCUUGACAUAUUCUCAGAGGAAGGACGGGCUAAGUUCGUGCCAGCAGCCGCGGUAAGACGAACCGUCCAAACGUUAUUCGGAAUCACUGGGCUUAAAGGGUGCGUAGGCGGCGCGGAAAGUAGGGUGUGAAAUCCCUCGGCUCAACCGAGGAACUGCGCUCUAAACUACCGUGCUCGAGGGAGAUAGAGGUGAGCGGAACUUGGGGUGGAGCGGUGAAAUGCGUUGAUAUCCUAAGGAACACCGGUGGCGAAAGCGGCUCACUGGAUCUCUUCUGACGCUGAGGCACGAAAGCUAGGGUAGCGAACGGGAUUAGAUACCCCCGUAGUCC
rnacentral:rRNA from 1 species